rnacentral:rRNA from 1 species
UACGGAGGGUGCAAGCGUUAUCCGGAUUUACUGGGUUUAAAGGGUGCGUAGGUGGGUCUGUAAGUCAGUUGUGAAAUCUCCGAGCUUAACUCGGAAACUGCCAUUGAUACUAUAGGUCUUGAAUUAUCUGGAGGUAAGCGGAAUAUGUCAUGUAGCGGUGAAAUGCUUAGAUAUGACAUAGAACACCAAUUGCGAAGGCAGCUUACUACGGAUUGAUUGACACUGAGGCACGAAAGCGUGGGGAUCAAACAGG